GACAUAUGAUGCAUCAAGUGUUGGUUCGUACUAACUAGUUACAAGUUAGGGCGCCACGAUAUCUUUAAUGGUGACGGUGUUAUUGUAUGAAUACAAGUGUAUUCAUCGCCGUUGAAUUGCGUAUUAACAGAAGGAAGGAUACUUUUAAAAAAUUGUUCUUUUUUUCUUAUUAAGCAAACAGCGUAAAAAUGGUACAAUGUAUAGUAAAAUGUAAAGUAAAUGUAUAAAUGUUCUUAUUGAGUCAGUCAAAAAUUUACGUUCGAUAUUCAAGUUUUUUAAUCAAUUUACAUGUAAGACAGACAACAAUAUUGGGGAGCUGAGUUCGGUCGAUACAAACUGAAUCCUGAAGAGUGGCCGCGACGAAAAAAAAGAAGGUUAGACGGAGAGUGAAAUCAAUAUGACUUGAUUUUUACCGAGACUUGUGUGUUUCUCAAUUGUAAUUUGUAUUCCUAUUGUAUCAAAUAAAUUAUUUUAUUUUCUACAAUAAUAAUAAUGUCUGUAUUAUAAAACUGAUAUCUAUUCAUUUUUUUGAUUGAUUACUUGGUUGAUGAAUAAGUUUUUCCUUCUGAAUAAAAUAAAAUAAAACUUGAUGCAAAAAUUGAACCGAACUUUUUGACUGACCCAAUAUAGAUAUGAUUGAUACUUCAUAAAAAUAAUAUGCAUGCUUACUUCAAUAAUCAGAAUUUCACUUAUCAGGAAUUAAUGGCAUGUGUGUACAUAUGUACAGAGAGAAGCAAAGACGCAGAAUGCAAGUGCAGAAAAGGGAAUAUUAUAUCGCUGUAUUAUUACUAUGCGAAUAAGCAUAUAAGCUAAUAUAUGCACUUGCUAGAAUUAAAUAAUACUAAUAAUAUUAUUUUGUUAAGGGUUAUAUGUUUCAUAAGAAAAUUUUCGAAGUUUUAAAAUCUGGUUUAAACUUAUAGUUUUUAUAUAUUUUGCAAUAAUUUCAGAUAUAUCUGAUAUAAAAAAAA